UACGUAGGGUGCAAGCGUUGUCCGGAAUUAUUGGGCGUAAAGAGCUCGUAGGCGGCUUGUCGCGUCGGCUGUGAAAACCUGGGGCUCAACCCCGGGCCUGCAGCCCGACUACGGGCAAGCGCUAGAAUUCGGUGAGGGGAGGACUGGAAGUUCCUGGUCGUAGCGGUGGAAAUACGGCAGAUAUCAGGAGGAACACCGGUGGCGAAGGCGGGUCUCUGGGCCGAAAUUGACGCUGAGGAGCGAAAGCGUGGGGAGCAAACAGG
rnacentral:rRNA from 1 species